GUGCGCCCAGAUAGGGUGUUAAGUCAAGUAGUUUAAGGUACUACUCUGUAAGAUAACACAGAAAACAGCCAACCUAACCGAAAAGCGAAAGCUGAUACGGGAACAGAGCACGGUUGGAAAGCGAUGAGUUACCUAAAGACAAUCGGGUACGACUGAGUCGCAAUGUUAAUCAGAUAUAAGGUAUAAGUUGUGUUUACUGAACGCAAGUUUCUAAUUUCGGUUAUGUGUCGAUAGAGGAAAGUGUCUGAAACCUCUAGUACAAAGAAAGGUAAGUUAUGGUUGUGGACUUAUCUGUUAUCACCACAUUUGUACAAUCUGUAGGAGAACCUAUGGGAACGAAACGAAAGCGAUGCCGAGAAUCUGAAUUUACCAAGACUUAACACUAACUGGGGAUACCCUAAACAAGAAUGCCUAAUAGAAAGGAGGAAAAAGGCUAUAGCACUAGAGCUUGAAAAUCUUGCAAGGGUACGGAGUACUCGUAGUAGUCUGAGAAGGGUAACGCCCUUUACAUGGCAAAGGGGUACAGUUAUUGUGUACUAAAAUUAAAAAUUGAUUAGGGAGGAAAACCUCAAAAUGAAACCAACAAUGGCAAUUUUAGAAAGAAUCAGUAAAAAUUCACAAGAAAAUAUAGACGAAGUUUUUACAAGACUUUAUCGUUAUCUUUUACGUCCAGAUAUUUAUUACGUGGCGACGCGUUGGGAAAUGGCAAUGAUAGCGAAACAACGUAAAACUCUUGUUGUAUGCUUUCAUUGUCAUCGUCACGUGAUUCAUAAACACAAGUGAAUUUUUACGAACGAACAAUAACAGAGCCGUAUACUCCGAGAGGGGUACGUACGGUUCCCGAAGAGGGUGGUGCAAACCAGUCACAGUAAUGUGAACAAGGCGGUACCUCCCUACUUCAC
rnacentral:misc_RNA from 2 species